rnacentral:lncRNA from 1 species
CUCUUCCGUGUCACAGAGCAAAUGAUCUUGGAUGUUCCACGUUGCUGGGCAUCCCAGUGUGGUUUGCUUCCCAAUGUCAUGGCUACAUUCUUCCUCGCUUACUGUCCAUGUUAUUCCUGUUCCUUCUAAUCAGCCUCGUGGCUUUCAGCUAACUUCACCUUAGUUCGUUUUACUCCCAGCCGCUGGUCUUCCUUGGUUUUUGCAGUCGUUCACCUCUGUCGUUAGCUGUUCCAGGGCCCUGUGUGGCUGCCUUUACUCUAAUCAGCCUCUGGGGCACAACUCCGAGAAGCAGGCAUUCAUGCCACCUGACGACUGAAACUGAGCCCGCGGAAGAGGCUGGGCUGCCAAUCGGAUGCACUAAGACACCAUGUGCAGGACAAGCUCAUGGAAAGGCAGCGAUAGCAGGUGUUUACUUAGCCACAGGGAAAUAUUUCUCCCCGUGUCCAGAUGUACUUGAACAAUUGGAAUCUGGGAUGUAAAGUUGAAAAACUACCAAAUUAAGGGUUUUCUGACUUUUAAAUUUUAUGACAUUAGAUUCUGCCAAGAUUGCCUGAACAAUGUGUGCUCUUUCGCUGUGCCAUUCUGAACUUACAAAAUGUUUUAUCUUUGGACAUCUCUGGUCUUAUCUUUGACAACAAGAAAUCUGGCAUCAGUUGUAAUAGUUUUUAAAUAUUUACAGUGUUCAAUAGCAAGGUUCCCCAAGAUGUAUCGAAAUUGGACUUGACUAAAAGUUUAUAUUUACAAAUAAGGAAUGUGUGUGUGUGGCAAUGCAUGGGCUGAUCCUGAAGUGGUAAAAUUAAUAGACAUUAUUCUGUAUUAGGAGAAAGACAGAAUUUCAUCUUUUUUUUUAAAGUUUAUUUUGAGAAAGAGAGAGAGAGCGCAUGUGAGCAGGGGAGGGGCAGAAAGAGAGGGAGAGAGAGAAUCCUAAGCACAGGGCUGGAAUUCACCAACUGUGAGAUCAUGACCUGAGCCAAAAACAGGAGUUGAACACUUAACCAGCUGAGCCACCCAGGCAACCCAAGAAUUUCAGCCUUUUUUUUUUUAAUUUUUUAAUAUUUAUUUAUUUUUGAGAGACAGAGAGAGCAUGAGCAUCAGAGGGGCAGAGAGAGAAGGAGACACAGAAUCCGAAGCAGGCUCCAGGCUCUGAGCUGUCAGCACAGAGCCCGAUGGGGGUUCGAACUCACAAACCGCGAGAUCAUGACCUGAGCUGAAGUCAGAUGCUUAAUGACUGAGCCACCCAGGCACUGGCGAAUUUUAUCUUUUAAUGGUAAAAGGAAAGGUGCCGUCACCAAGGUGGUGACAUAGGUUGUUCUUGACUUUGCUCCCCCUCAUAAGAAGAACAACCAAUAACUAUUCAAGAAGAUACCUCAGGGACUCCUAGAACCUGGAGGUGAGGCUAAAGCACC